AAUCAGACAGAGAGACAGGGACAGAGGUUCUAUUCCUGUUCUAGUUGAAUCAGACAGAGAGACAGGGUCAGAGGUUCUAUUCCUGUUGAAUCAGACAGAGAGACAGGGACAGAGGUUCUAUUCCUGUUCUAGUUGAAUCAGACAGAGAGACAGGGACAGAGGUUCUAUUCCUGUUGAAUCAGACAGAGAGACAGGGACAGAGGUUCUAUUCCUGUUCCAGUUGAAUCAGACAGAGAGACAGGGACAGAGGUUCUAUUGCUGUUGAAUCAGACAGAGAGACAGGGACAGAGGUUCUAUUCCUGUUGAAUCAGACAGAGAGACAGGGACAGAGGUUCUAUUCCUGUUGUAGUUGAAUCAGACAGAGAGACAGGGACAGAGGUUCUAUUCCUGUUGAAUCAGACAGAGAGACAGGGACAGAGGUUCUAUUCCUGUUCUAUUUGAAUCAGACAGAGAGACAGGGACAGAGGUUCUAUUCCUUUUGUAGUUGAAUCAGACAGAGAGACAGGGACAGAGGUUCUAUUCCUGUUCUAGAUGAAUCAGACAGAGAGACAGGGACAGAGGUUCUAUUCCUGUUGAAUCAGACAGAGAGACAGGGACAGAGGUUCAAUUCCUGUUCUAGUUGAAUCAGACAGAGAGACAGGGUCAGAGGUUCUAUUCCUGUUCUAGAUGAAUCAGACAGAGAGACAGGGACAGAGGUUCCAUUCCUGUUGAAUCAGACAGAGAGACAGGGACAGAGGUUCUAUUCCUGUUCUAGAUGAAUCAGACAGAGCGACAGGGACAGAGGUUCUAUUCCUGUUGAAUCAGACAGAGAGACAGGGACAGAAGUUCUAUUCCUGUUCUAGAUGAAUCAGACAGAGAGACAGGGACAGAGGUUCAAUUCCUGUUCUAGUUGAAUCAUACAGAGAGACAGGGUCAGAGGUUCAAUUCCUGUUCUAGAUGAAUCAGACAGAGAGACAGGGACAGAGGUUCUAUUCCUGUUGAAUCAGACAGAGAGACAGGGACAGAGGUUAUAUUCCUGUUCUAGUUUAAUCAGACAGAGAGACAGGGACAGAGGUUCUAUUCCUGUUGAAUCAGACAGAGAGACAGGGACAGAGGUUCUAUUCCUGUUCUUGUUGAAUCAGACAGAGAGACAGGGACAGAGGUUCUAUUCCUGUUCUAGAUGAAUCCGACAGAGAGACAGGGACAGAGGUUCUAUUCCUGUUCUAGUUGAAUCAGACAGAGAGACAGGGACAGAGGUUCUAUUCCUGUUGAAUCAAACAGAGAGACAGGGACAGAGUUUCUAUUCCUGUUCUAGUUGAAUCAGACAGAGAGACAGGGACAGAGGUUCUAUUCCUGUUGAAUCAGACAGAGAGACAGGGACAGAGGUUCUAUUCCUGUUGAAUCAGACAGAGAGACAGGGACAGAGGUUAUAUUCCUGUUCUAGUUUAAUCAGACAGAGAGACAGGGACAGAGGUUCUAUUCCUGUUGAAUCAGACAGAGAGACAGGGACAGAGGUUCUAUUCCUGUUCUAGUUGAAUCAGACAGAGAGACAGGGACAGAGGUUCUAUUCCUGUUCUAGAUGAAUCCGACAGAGAGACAGGGACAGAGGUUCUAUUCCUGUUCUAGUUGAAUCAGACAGAGAGACAGGGACAGAGGUUCUAUUCCUGUUGAAUCAAACAGAGAGACAGGGACAGAGUUUCUAUUCCUGUUCUAGUUGAAUCAGACAGAGAGACAGGGACAGAGGUUCUAUUCCUGUUGAAUCAGACAGAGAGACAGGGACAGAGGUUCUAUUCCUGUUGAAUCAGACAGAGAGACAGGGACAGAGGUUAUAUUCCUGUUCUAGUUUAAUCAGACAGAGAGACAGGGACAGAGGUUCUAUUCCUGUUGAAUCAGACAGAGAGACAGGGACAGAGGUUCUAUUUCUGUUCUAGUUGAAUCAGACAGAGAGACAGG
rnacentral:lncRNA from 1 species